rnacentral:rRNA from 1 species
GACGAACGCUGGCGGCGUGCUUAACACAUGCAAGUCGAGCGGAAAGGCCCGGUUUUUUGCUGUUGCGCUAGUGGCGAACGGGUGAGUAACAAGUGAGUAACCUGCCCGUGACUUUGGGAUAGCUUCAGGGAACUGAGGCUGAUAACUGAUAGGAACGCCUGCUACAUGGUGUGGGGUGGAGAGGUUCGGCGGUUGGUGAUGGACACGCGGCUUAUCAGCUUGUUGGUUGGGUAGUGGCUUACCAAGGCUUUGACGGGUAGGCGGCCUGAGAGGGUGACCGGCAACAUUGGGACUGAGAUACGGCCCAGACUCCUACGGGAGGCAGCAGUGGGGAAUAUUGCACAAUGGGCGGAAGCCUGAUGCAGCAACGCCGCGUGCGGGAUGACGGCCUUCGGGUUGUAAACCGCUUUCGCCUGUGACGAAGCGUGAGUGACGGUAAUGGGUAAAGAAGCACCGGCUAACUACGUG